CCUACGGGAGGCAGCAGUGAGGAAUAUUGGUCAAUGGGCGCGAGCCUGAACCAGCCAAGUAGCGUGAAGGAUGACUGCCCUACGGGUUGUAAACUUCUUUUAUAAAGGAAUAAAGUGAGGCAAGUGUGCCCUUUUGUCUGUACUUUAUGCAUAAGAAUCGGCUAACUACGUGCCAGCAGCCGCGGUAAUACGUAGGAUCCGAGCGUUAUCCGGAUUUAUUGGGUUUAAAGGGAGCGUAGAUGGGUUGUUAAGUCAGUUGGGAAAGUUUGCGGCUCAACCGUAAAAUUGCAAUUGAUACUGGCAGUCUUGAGUACAGUUGAGGUAGGCGGAAUUCGUGGUGUAGCGGUGAAAUGCUUAGAUAUCACGAAGAACUCCGAUUGCGAAGGCAGCUUACUAAACUGCCACUGACAUUGAUGCUCGAAAGUGUGGGUAUCAAACAGGAUUAGAUACCCCUGUAGUC
rnacentral:rRNA from 1 species